rnacentral:lncRNA from 1 species
CUUAAUACCGAAUAUAAAGCUCUAUAGAAAUAGUUUUCGCCAUCGCUGGACAGUAAUACCUUUGUCUCACUCUAUGACAUUUUACAUUCACUGUUUAUAGAUUAUUCCCACACCGACAAAGUGCGUUUGGCUCUUACUAAUGUUUUUACUAAUAAAACAUAAAACCUGUAUAAAAAAAAAAGUCUGAAAACACGAAUGCCCC